GGGAGGAGCCAUGCCCCCAGCAGAAAUACAUGCUCCAGGACCAGGCUUCCUUCCUGUGAUCUGCUGUCCUACUCACUGAGUCCUGGUUCACAUGCCAAGGCUCAAGGCAGCAGGAAGGCAACAUCUAGGCAACAUCUAUGGUCUGCUGCCCAUGAGGAGCAAUCCAAGAGACAGCUCUUCCCAUGCAACAAGGAUUUGGUGAAGUUGAGUGGUCACUCAGCAUUUACAUCCUGCAAAAUCCUGAGGGCAUGGAAACCAUGCAAGGAAUGGCUGAACUGAAGUGAAAGAGUCAUAGACUUGGAGCUCCACCUCUCAACCUGAGAAAUUCUUGAGCAACAGAGCACCCAGGCAUAUGCUUACAUGAAGUAGAGGUGAAAAAAGAAGCCUGGAUUAAGUAGCUGAAACCACAAAAAUGAGAGUUGGUGCUUUCAUCUUGUUUAAGAAAAACAAAUCAAGGGUAUUUGGGAGACCACAGCAAAGACAGUUCUGUGAGCAAAACGAAAAUUGAUGCCUAACCCAGUACCUCCCAGCUAUGCUUUUCCAGAAGGGACAGGUAUAAAUAGGGUGGUAGAUGCAAACAGGAAACAAAUACUUUAACUUUUCUUGGCCAGCACUCUUUGGAUUUCCAUGGGCACAGCUGGAUGCAAAGGGAUCUGACAAAGAAUCAAAGAAAGAGUUUAAUCUGCUAUGUGAUUCUCACAGUAGCCAGAAUAGCUAACUCACACCAAGUUAGAUCAAAGAAUAGGCAGAUUUUAUCUGUCCCCAGAGACAAGUUGCAAGGCAAAGAGGCUGGUAUGGAAUCCCAUAUCCUGUAUUUUUACUGUAGGAAGGCAAAGGUAAUAUGAGAUACAGGAAAUCUACACCUCACCUACUAUGAAAAUCUCACUGCAGCCAGUAAUUGCUUCUUUUACUAAUGAUAAUAGUUCCUGCUCUUGUCAAGGACAAUGAGCAGAGGACAAGACAUUUGGGAGCCCUGUGGCUGUUGCUGGAGGAGGUGUGUUUGCUUUCCCCAGCCUUUACCUGGAUACCAGCUCAGACCUCAGAGCACAGGCUGAUGUCACUGACCACCCGUGGCAAAUGCAGGUUAAUUAUGUGUCAUGUGUAAUGGGAUCUUCAGUGUGUGGUACAAAGGUGCCACGAGCAGAUAUUAACUCUGAUUGCUGGCACUGACCACAGGGAAGUCAAGCAUUUGACUACAUCCACCUCUCCAGUUUUCCAAGGCCCAAGUUAUAACUUGUCCUUUCUCACACAGCAGCCUCCCUUUGUGCUAACUCUCCUUUGAAACAAUGAAUAUAAAGCAAGAGGAGAAUGGAGAGCUCUGUGCAGUGCUAGAAUCAAGCCCAGCAGUUAAGGAUGCUGUAUUCUCUUUGCAGCUAUUUCAAUUUACCAUCAGUAAUGUGUACUUGAAUGAAAGCAAACCAUACAUGAUGGGAGUGUUUAUGAUGAGGCAUCAAUUAAUACAAGUGGAUUGCCUUCCAGGGGGCACACAAUAUUAACUCUCCUCCUUCCCCCAGUCUCUAACACCAUAAAAUACCCUGUACCCUGCAGUGCACAGGAAUUCCAGGCUGUUAAAUGACACACAUGUGGGCCUGUUAGAUCCCAAUCAGCUUAAAUUAGGCCAUUUUCCAUACAAAUCAAAACAUGGGAGAUGGAACUCUGGGGCAUAUCUAAUUGAAAGUCUGUUAAAGGAAGAGAUUCAUUAUGUGCAUUUCUGUGCAGCAAUGUCUAGGCAGUUAUCAGGCUUCUCUUAUGCUGUGUUUAACUCAACAAUUUCCAUGUCACUGCAAUGAACCAAGUUGGAGAAGGAUCAAAAUUCCAAAUGGAUAAUGUCCUGACCCCCUCAGAGAUCAGAGAUGAGGGGUGUGAUUUGCUACUGCCAAGAACUGUCUUCCCUCAAGUAGGAGAGACUUCUAAACUCAGAGCUGGAGAAUCAAGAUCCUGGAUGCUUCUCACCUGUGUGAGAUACUUUUCUACAAAGUCACCUACAGUCUGUGCUAUGACCAGUGUGUAUAACAACUGCACAUACCAAAUACCAUUUAAAUAUUUUGUGUGCUCACUGCAGUAAUUGCACAUGCAAAGUAAGUACCUAAGUGCACCCAGAGAGGAGAAGCCUUUUGGAAGGGACAGAAUCUCUGCCAUUGGAUGCUGGAAUCCUGUGGCAGUCAAGGAUCAACCACAGGACAAAAAUCUUAUUUACACAGGAAUGGACAAAAGCCUGGAAAGAUGAGCAAAUAUAUUGCCAGUAUACAAAGCCAGAUUGAUAAGAGGAAAACAGAAGUCAGAAUUCUUUACUAUCCAGCUAACCCCACACUUCACUCCUCUCCUACAAAGUCUUGUAAGAUCACCAGCCUGGCUAGAGAUGGUCUCCCCUGAUAUUAGGAAAUAAAUGUAUCUCCAGCACUGUGGAAUAACUGCAGUCAGCAAAUGUCAGCUUCUAUGGCAAAGUCACAAGGCAGCAGAGACCUGAGCUUGCUCCUGCUCUGCAUCAGGACCAAAUAAAUAAUGUCCAGUCAUGAAAUACAGUAUCCUGUGAUCAAUACCCAGAGUCAUCUUGUUCUCCAAGUCAAAAACAAACCUUCUCUAGGUGCAAGAGUGGCUGUCCAUUCUCCAAACAAAACUGAUAAGCUGGAGAAGAAGUAAACCCAGCAACUUUAAUUUCAUUUUAUAGUCAGCUGUAGUGCUGAUGUUCCUUUAACACUGUAUAAUGUCACUUUAUUUAAUC